UACGGAGGGUCCGAGCGUUAUCCGGAAUUACUGGGCGUAAAGCGCGCGUAGGCGGAUUAGUCAGUUAGAGGUGAAAUCCCAGGGCUCAACCUUGGAACUGCACCUGAUACUGCAAGACUAGAGUACAAUAGAGGGGAGUGGAAUUUCCGGUGUAGCGGUGAAAUGCGUAGAGAUCGGAAGGAACACCAGUGGCGAAGGCGACUCCCUGGAUUGAUACUGACACUGAGGUGCGAAAGCGUGGGGAGCAAACAGG
rnacentral:rRNA from 1 species